rnacentral:lncRNA from 10 species
CUGAGUACCUCAGAGAAGCCAAGGUUCCUGCAGGAACCUCGUGCCUGCUGUCCACGUUGGGCUUCAUUUUAUCAAAAUACAGCAAAGAGCUCAUCAUUUCUCAGCUCCUGUCGGAAGCAACAGUGGCUGUUCCUGGACACAGAGCUGCAGACAAGGAGUGCCAACACUUCCUGGAGAUGAAACACAACUUCAAUACAGAGAUAGCAAGUUCACACUCUGGCAGUCAUGCAAGGAUGAGUGAUGCGGGCCUUUUCUAAGUGAGUAUGAACGGGUGGGACCUACGGUAAAUUCAAUGCAGUAUAAUCCGUCUACGGGGCAGUGGGCACCCAGCAACAGCCAACUGUUACCAAAUCAAAGUGCAGGCCCAGGAUGACUCAUCUUCCAGCAUUUCAUGAGCAACCAGAAGUCUACAUUUCUUUGAGAAAAAAAAUUUUUUUGAGACGAGGUCUUACUCUGUUGCCCAGGCUGGAGUGUGUAGCUUCUACCUCCCGGGGCUUAGGUGAUUCUCCCACCUCAAGUCUCCCAAGUAGCUGAGACUGCAGGCAUGUGCCACCACGCUGGCUAAUUUUUUUUUUUUUUUUGAGUCGGAGUCUCGCUCUGUCCCCCAGGCUGGAGCGCAGUGGCGCGAUCUCGGCUAACUGCGAGCUCCGCCUCCCGGGGUUCGUGCCAUUCUCCUGCUUCAGCCUCCCAAGUAGCUGGGACUACAGGCGCCCGCCACCACGCCCG